AUCACUAUCACCAUCACCAUCCACAAUUAGUAUUGAGGAGCAAAGUGAACUAAUUUGUUCAAUUUCAGUGUAUUCCGUCGAUUUUUCUUUCCUCUCUCCAUUCUCGAUCUUUCUCCUUCCAUCGAACUCUUCUUUCUUGGAGAAUGUAUCAUUUUCAUCAAGUAACAGUACUGAUACCAGGCCAAAUUUAAACUGAAGUAGCAACUGAUUCUCCAUUUUCAGUGAUGAAUCGGUGAAUUAGGGUUUUCAAAAUUAAUUAGAAAUUCAAUUAGGGAUUGGAUAUUGAGAAAUUAAAGGAUGGGUUUGCAUGAUUUGAAGACCUGAAUUGAGAUUUGAACUCGAGCAAGGAAAAGGAGGAUUUAGGGUUGUAUUUUAAGGUUUCUGAGAAUCAGUGAUGGCGAUGAAGAAUUUAUUAGGUGUUGGUUGAACUGAAAUGGGAAAUUGUUGAUGGUCUUGCGAUGGGUAGCUGAUUUGAAUCAAAGUGAAUGAUGAAUUGAUAUCAGUUGCUUGAGUAGAACUAAUUUGAGGUAAUGGUUUUUCUUGGUUAACCGAGUAAAGUUAUAUAUAUUCAGUUCUGAGUUUACAUGAAUUGUUAAUGAAGUUGUAGUUGUAGUUAAGUUUGUGAAUUCAAGGGAUUGGUACAUAUUUGAGAUGAAACAUGAAUUGAGUUUUGAGUUUUGGAAUUGAUAAUCAAUUGCCUUUGCAUCAACACUUGAGACUAAGGGCUUGAUAGUGUUUGUUAGCUGCACUGAAAUGGAAAUGAGUUGCAGGGGGGUGUUUACAAGAUAUCAAUAUUAUGUAAUUGCAACAAUGUAAAAUUAAGACUAAGAGAGUGAUACAGAGACUGUAAUGGAGAUACAAGUUGAUAUGAUAUUGGGACAUGAGCUGGUUCUGCAGGUGUUGGUUUUGUUUGUAAGAUGAUGGUCAGCAGCCCAAUAUUCUUGAGCAGCCGCCAAUGCUUUCCUAAGGGGCGAUCAUUACUCUGCCCAAGUACUCUCGUGGAAGGCACAUCCAGAGUGGAUGACUGCUGAAAGUCUGAAUUUUAAGGCAGCCCAAGAAAUUUGAAGUAUAAGGAAUCACAAAAAUGAUGUAUGGAAGCUAGACCUGCAUGGUUUGCAUGCAUCUGAAGCUGUUCACACCUUGAAAGAGCGUCUUUGGAGGAUUGAGACUCAGUUCCCACUUACUGUGCAUCCCAAUAAAGUUUUCAAACCAAUUGAUUCCAGUAGUUGCCUUAGCGUGGCCGGACAAACAGAAAAAGAAGAGGGAAUGACAUCACAGAGAGUCAGAGACCAGGGGUUUUACAAGUUAUAAUAGAUUUUCUUUAUUAGGGGAAUAUUCGAGUAAAACAUCUUACUUUAAAUUAGAUUUUCUUAUUUCGUCACAUAGAUGAGAUAUAACAGGGAUCCCAUUUUUUACUAUGUUUUGGCAAUAUUUACCCAGUAGAUAUUGGAAAAAUAAUCACACGUUUUAUGAAUGAACAUCCAAUCGCUACCCACUUGAGUGGAGUGUCACGUUUACGAAGAUCUCUCUUUCUAUACUGAUGUGAGAUUUUUGCCUUGCGUUCAUUAAUUAUAUUGAUGCAUCUUGUCUAUUUAGUUCUGGAUUGUGACUGCAUUUCCUUUUCGCAGAUGUUGUUUUUCCUUAAUUGGUGCUGGUGAUCUUUUCCAAUUGCAAAUGGUUGUUGUAUUAAAACCAUUAUCAACUUAAUACAAUUUUGGUGUUGUCUAAUAAUGGCAUCAGGUGGUAUUGAUUGUUAAAUGUCAGGGGAAAUUGAGCUCGUUGUAGGUGAACAGGGAAGAAUGGAUCGAUUGCAGGUGGUUGUAGCUGUUGGCUGAGAUGCAACAACGAGUGCAUUUGUGUUGAAGCUGUUAACGUUUGCAGCCUUGAAUAUUGUUGGAAUCAACUCCAUGAACUAAUGAUUGCAUGCACUAGACAAUAGUAUGUCGGUGGUCACAUGGAUCGAUUUCAGGUGGUGGAUGUUUGGGUCCAUCUGUGGCUAGAGAUGCUUAUGAGACACCAACAAGAAGUGGAGAUAUGUGCUGGCUGGAUUUUUAAGAGAUUACAGGCAACGUUGGUUGUUGUUUGAAUCGGCUAGUUAACAUGAAUGAAGGUGUUUCAGUCUGUAGUAACUGGUGGGUGACUUAUACGUGGAUGAACAUUGGUGAUGAAGUUUAGUUCUGCGGCCAGGGAUGGAUAUAAGAUGGUAUGGUCGGAUCUUGGGAGGAUUUGCCGGAGUUUGUACAUCCCGUAAUGACGAGAUUUAGAAGGUUCAAGUCAAAGAAAUUGUUUGCAAUCGGUGGCCAAGACAAUAAGAGAUAGAAAGUGUUAUUGGAAUUGAAUUUGGUUGCAGUUGUAUUGUAGCUUGGAUGGUGUCGUUUCGUCAAGUUCUUCGGUCGGCCCUCCCACCGUGCCAAUGGUUGUACUAGUAGUUUCCCACUCUCAGAGAAGUGAAGAAGUAAUUCAAAAUGGGUAUAGAUCUAAUUUCCGGAGGCAUGAGCAAGAAAACAAAGACAACAACUCCUAAAUCUGAUGAUGUUCACCUCAACCCCUUAUUUGAAUCUAGUGUUCAAGCUGAUCAAGCAGUAAAGAACUGCUAUUGCUACCAUGUUUGUCGAUUGAAAAAGGAGAUUAAGAGCUCGUUUUAGAACACCACAGCAACACAAGACUAGUCGGCCAGUACUGGGAUAAGAGUUUAUUUUAUAUUUUGACAUUUUUUUGAGCGUCGAUUCAGAGCGGAAAUGGUUUGCGGCGAUUGAUUUUAAAGGUGAGUGCUGGUGAUUGAUGAAUCAUUAGAAUCUUGGUCGGAUUUAGGACUUGGAUGUUGCCGUAAUUAAAUGGAAUGAAGGGAAGGAGCUAGGGAAGAAUGAUAUACAGCUUUAUCUUUUCUAUCCAUUAUGAUUGAUGGAAACACCCAUAAGCUGUUUGAGUAAAUAGCUUAACGACCAAAUCUGACAUUAUUAGUCUGUUGCCAUAAAAAUGGAGGUGAAGUGAAGAAAAUGGGUGUUGUGGUCACUCUGAGUUUGAAUUGGAAAAAGAGUUUUAAACCUUUGAAGAUAUGGAAGAAACAUAAAUCUGCUUCACUCUUUUCCUCGAAAAUCAACUGAGAUUGUAAUUUUUGGAAAUGGGUCUAUAUAUUUUUUUAUUGAUUUUGAUGA